GAUAGAUAGAUAGAUAGAUAGAUGAUAGAUAAAACAUAGAUGAGAGAAGGGCAGUAAAAGAAAGAGAGGGAAACGUCUUUUGGGUUCUCUCUAUAUUUUAAAACCCCAAAGUAUAGGGUUAAAAGACCCUCUAGGUUCAGUAGAAGAACCAUUCUUUCUCUAAGUGCCAGUAGCAGGCCGCUAUACAAUGAUGAAGCCUAGUCUUGUGCUACAAGGGGAGUGGGGACUGACUUUCAGGCUGUGGCAAAGCGGCCAGUACUCGGCUGUGGGAGCGAAGAGGUUACAGGGAGGCAGUAGGAAAUGGAGCCACAGACAGAGACUCAGUGUUUGGGAAGGGGAGGGAGAGACCUCCGGACACUGCUCAGUUUGUCCUUGUCUGAGGGGCUCCGCUUGGCUCUGUGUGCCCUCUUCACUCACUGGAUUCCAACAUCGGGUUAACACUGGCACCUCCUGGCCCGGCUAAUUCCUGGGACCCUGGGCCCCAGUUGGGAACACGGUCUUUUUUCCCCAUGAUUGCCUGCACAUGUCUCAGUUUACUUGGGCAGCGGUAAUUAAAUCACAAUAAUACGCAGCGCACUGAGAAAGCUAAAUGACUGUUAAUCUCAGCGCAUCUUAAUACACUGCCCUUUGAUCUCUGCCUCUCAGACCAUUUGAUGGACUAAAGGAAACUGCAACCUGAGAGCUGGAGAAAAAUAACCCAAUAAUGUUACAGACACAAUAUCAGGAGAGAGCCCAGACGACUGGUCAAGCAACCAAUUCGUAUUGGGAUAUUAUAUAAAUAUAUAUAUAUUGUAUUCCAGCUGGAAAAUAAAAAUAAAGUGACCAA